rnacentral:rRNA from 1 species
AUUGAACGCUGGCGGCAGGCUUAACACAUGCAAGUCGAGCGGAGAUGAGGUGCUUGCACCUUAUCUUAGCGGCGGACGGGUGAGUAAUGCUUAGGAAUCUGCCUAUUAGUGGGGGACAACAUUCCGAAAGGAAUGCUGAUACCGCAUACGCCCUACGGGGGAAAGCAGGGGAUCUUCGGACCUUGCGCUAAUAGAUGAGCCUAAGUCGGAUUAGCUAGUUGGUGGGGUAAAGGCCUACCAAGGCGACGAUCUGUAGCGGGUCUGAGAGGAUGAUCCGCCACACUGGGACUGAGACACGGCCCAGACUCCUACGGGAGGCAGCAGUGGGGAAUAUUGGACAAUGGGCGGAAGCCUGAUCCAGCCAUGCCGCGUGUGUGAAGAAGGCCUUUUGGUUGUAAAGCACUUUAAGCGAGGAGGAGGCUACCUAGAUUAAUACUCUAGGAUAGUGGACGUUACUCGCAGAAUAAGCACCGGCUAACUCUGUGCCAGCCGCCGCGGUAAAAC